GGAGAAAGGGCCUCACUCAGUUCUCUUGAAGGUGCAGAGGGAACAGUGCAAACCGUGUUGCAGCUCAGGAAGGUACAGAAAAGUGGUGGUGAGAGCAAGUCUGGGAAAAAUGUGGUUUGAAAAAGAUUUCUGUCAUCAUUGAGAUGUGUGAUGAAAGGGGAUGGACACUCAAAUGGGUGAAGUUCAUGUCCCAGAGAGCUUGUGAUCUAAAUUUGUGAUGUCUGCCAUGGUGCGCCCUCCCAGGAUGGCCCCAGGACCACAAGCAAUGCGUGCCACGACACUUUCCUCCCGGGCUCCUGAACAUCCUCAGCACUCACCAGGCAAUCGGGGCUGAACUCACCCAUGUGAGCUGCUGGAAUAUCUCGCAGAGGGGAGCAGAAUGGGAAAAAUUACUUCAGGAGGACUCUUAACCACACUCAUUCUCAUCUUGUAUGCAGAUUGCUCCCAAGAUCAAACCACAGAAGACAGAAGGACUGACAAAACCACGAGAUGAAAAAGACAAAAAAACUUUUUCAGAAGAGUUUUCUCCAGCCCAGCUCCCAGAAAACCUAAUGUUUACUUUCUCCUUGAAGAAAUUGAGAGACUUAGCUAAGAUUUGUGUCAAUAAGGUAGUUACAGGAGGAUUUUCCUACUUGGUGUUAACUGAACAUGGUAUUAAUUAUUCUAAGGGAAGGAAUAAACUGUUAUCACUGGUAUGCACUAGGAGAAGUAUAGAUGUUUUCACAGCACUCAGCUUCUAAAUGAUUUUUUUUUUAACUUCAUCACAAAGGCUGGAAUUUGAGUGAUGCUUCCUUGACUGAAGGGUUCUUUUUCACUACAUUAAGAAGAUAUCUAGACAAACAAGCCUUAAUUCUUGUGAACUGGUUUAAAUCCUGCCCUCUCCAUGGGGCUGAUAUUUUCUUUCUGGCUUGGUUUGGGUCUUUCAGCAGGAACUGAGUGCUAUAAAAACAGCAUUCUCUCUUCCAUCAGCAAAAUGAGUAGGAUAGAAAGCCACAGCUUGACAGACCUUGAAUUGCAGCUGUCUUUCCUACAGUCAAGCUAAGAUUUUGAAGCUGUGUUUGGCCAUCUCAUUGUUUUAGAAUGCUUUUGGUUGCUUUCUGCUGCGUUGCAUCACUUCUUCAUAGGAAAUGUUCCAACUAAGUUUGAACAUGUCAGUUCUACUGUGUACUGUGAAGAACUGAGCCUGUGUUUGGCUCUCAUCUGUAAUUUACAUCUGCAAUGCUGGCUGAAUCUUGUAACUUGUCUUGUGUGUCUAUUUUGCAGCAUAAGAACGCUUAAAACUUUCCUCCAUAAUAAUUAAAAUCACGGGGUUUUUUUAUUCCAGUAGUUGAUCCCUACUCUAUUAUGUAGUUGAGAAGAAGCAUGCCAGUUAAAAGCUACUAAGGGGCACGAAAGGAUUUGCUGCACAGGGGUAAAAGAAAUUACCUUUCUCUUUAGGCAGCAUUGGAAAUGCCUCAGAGCUUCAUGUUAAGUUUUAUGUCCCCUGUCAGAUAUUUUCUUUCAAGAAAGAUGUGGGCGACUUGGAGGGAAAACAGUGAAGGUCUGAGAAUAGUUAGAAAUCCUGAAUAUAUGACAUACCAGAAAACACUGAAAUAAUUUAAGUUCUUUAAGGGAAAGGAAUUUGGAGGAUGAUCUUGAAAUUACUAGAAAGAAACUUUUGCAGAAAUAACUUGUGCAAAAAUGAAGUAGAUUAGAAUAUGAAUAUAUUCCCUUCAUGCUCAUAGUGGAUAAAAAUUAAUUAGUUAAUUAAUUUUUUAAAAAGUCAAGGAUGUUUAUGGGUUCAAAAUUAAGAGGCACCUUCCUGAUGGUAGGGAUGACCAAGUACUAAAACAGGUCAAUUUAUGGUCAUUUGCCAUUUGAGGUUUUUGAAACCAGAUCAACUAAUAUUUUCCAGUAAUUAUGUAGAUCUAAUUAAUCUUGUCCAGGGCUGAGAAAGCACGCCAGAUGUUGUCUUGAGGUUUCUCUGGUCUCAUGUUGCAUAUGCACUUACCAACAUCAAGUGGUAAUGAACAACAACAUCAAUGAAAAGAAAGGAGGAGUGAAACUGGAGGAGAGCUUUCCUGACUGGACCAUGGUCACCACCAAAGGCCUGGAUUUCUGUUUGUAUCAUAACUCAUGCACGAGUCAGAGCAUUGUGCAAACCUUGAAGUAAGUUGGAAAUUGUAUUUGGAAUUGUAUUUGUAAGGAAUUGUAAAAAUGAAAAUGCGCUCACCCAUUGUACAUAUGAAGUGAUGAUUAGAUUAGUACUGCUCAAUGUGUGUGUCCUUUGGCAAUUAUUAGAAUAAUUGCUAUAAAUAGACUAUAGAAGGAUAUCUUAAAGUUUUUUGAUAUGCAGAUUAAUUGACCUAAAAGUUAGUGUUAUAUUUUAUAAUUUUUAUUAAGAUGCAACACUGGAAGUAAAUUGAGUAUAAUGCAUUGUACAAGGCAACAAAAUUGAAUUACAUAUUUUUAAAGGCUUUUUUUUCACCUCCUAUUUAAGUACUUCCUUAUUCUAAUGCUUUAAUGUCUGUAGGGUUUGCAGAACACCUACAUAAAUCUGAUUAUACUAAAUUACUCUAUUUUCUCUGAGCCUAGAGCAUUUCAUGUACACAUAGGCAAAAAGGAAUCUAAUGAUAAAGCACAUCAGAAAAAUCACAUCUAUAUCAGAAAUCUUUGUGUAUACCAGUUUUAUGCUUUAGUUCUUUAACCAAAAUAAUGCAAAGACAAUGUACAGUGGCAGGGUGCUUUAUGGCACGUGCUAUGGGCUGCGGAUUUGCUGUGGCAAAAUGGAAAAUGGAGUAGAGAAACUGUCAGUGUGAGUGCUGAAAGAGACUACUGCAACAAGUGGUGACAAUUAGCUUCUCAUUUUCCCAGUGUCAUUGGGGAAGAAGAGAUUAAUCCUAUUCUGGUAAAUUCAGAAACUGUAGCAGUUGUGAGAGUUAAUACCUUUCAACUCGAGGACCACCACCAGGAAUGGGAGUGCUGAAUGGUUUCCUCCUCUUAACAGGAGGGAGCUUUCAGUUCCACCUCUGUUCCUGUCUCUUCUUCACAAUCUGCUGGAUGGGAGGCCCCAAUACAUCAUUAUGACGGACACCUCAGGAAUGAGGCAGUUCCAAAGAUUGCUAUGUUUCAAUUAGUUCAAUUAGCACAAAUUUUAAAAAUAAUCUUAUGCACUAGUGCUAAAUUUAUUACCUGUUCAGUAAUUGCCAGAUAGUUGUUGGCAGACAUAAAGGUCUCUGCUUCUCCCACUUGAGAAAACUCUGUAUGCUGUUCUGUUUCAGGAUCAAAAAACUGAAGAAAUAAAAACAUGAUUGUGUUUUCAAAAAAUGACUGAUCGAAUGAAUAUCCAAUCAAGUGACAUAUCAGAAUGAGAGUAGUGGAAUUUGUGUCUGGGCUUACUGGAGCCUUAAGUGGCUUUGAGCUAUGAGUAGAAGUCUAGCAAUAAACUAGAUUUUUUGUUGUCCUUUAUUAUGUUUCUCUUGCCGUGUUUUUGGUAUCAAUUGAAUGUCAAUAGGCUUUAUGGUGGUUUGCUGGUGACUAAUUUGCUCACAGCAAA